rnacentral:lncRNA from 1 species
UCACUCUAACCUGUUUGUUGAGUUUUUUGUGAGGGCUCACAUGACUCUUGCAGAGAUGGCUUGCCUGGUGUUCCACUUUAUUUGUGGGAUACCACCUGGAGGUUUAUUCCGAUUACCUAUACUGACUCGCUAUCUUUGAUGGUGCUAGCUUGGGAGAUCUCUGGGUUUCUUAUUUCUUUAUUUGCUGUUGCUUCAGAUCUUUAUCCAUG